rnacentral:rRNA from 1 species
UAACGCGAAGAACCUUACCCGGGCUUGAACUGCAGCGGAAGGAUACAGAGAUGUUGACGUCCUUCGGGACCGCUGUGGAGGUGCUGCAUGGUUGUCGUCAGCUCGUGCCGUGAGGUGUCGGCUUAAGUGCCAUAACGAGCGCAACCCUUUUCAUCAGUUGCCAUCAGGUGAUGCUGGGCACUCUGGUGAUACUGCCACCGUAAGGUGUGAGGAAGGUGGGGAUGACGUCAAAUCAGCACGGCCCUUACGUCCGGGGCUACACACGUGUUACAAUGGGGUAUACAGAAGGCGGGAUCACGGCAACGUGUUUCAAAUCUUUAAAGUGCUCCUCAGUUCGGAUUGGGGUCUGCAACCCGACCCCAUGAAGCUGGAUUCGCUAGUAAUCGCGCAUCAGCCAUGGCGCGGUGAAUACGUUCCCGGGUCUUGUACACACCGA